AGCUGAUGACAAGGGCAAUAGCCCUUGUAAAGCUGGCAGGCAGACAGUUCAAACCCUGU
ncrna:unclassified sequences Type-P5 twister ribozyme ribozyme sequence